rnacentral:rRNA from 1 species
AUACGUAGGUGGCAAGCGUUGUCCGGAAUUAUUGGGCGUAAAGAGCAUGUAGGCGGACUUUUAAGUCUGGCGUGAAAAUGCGGGGCUCAACCCCGUAUGGCGUUGGAUACUGGAAGCCUUGAGUGCAGGAGAGGAAAGGGGAAUUCCCAGUGUAGCGGUGAAAUGCGUAGAUAUUGGGAGGAACACCAGUGGCGAAGGCGCCUUUCUGGACUGUGUCUGACGCUGAGAUGCGAAAGCUAGGGUAGCAAACGGGAUUAGAUACCCCGGUAGUCCUAGCUGUAAACGAUGGGUACUAGGUGUAGGAGGUAUCGACCCCUUCUGUGCCGGAGUUAACGCAAUAAGUACCCCGCCUGGGGACUACGAUCGCAAGAUUGAA